rnacentral:miRNA from 1 species
UAAAACCUUCAGAAGGAAAGGAGAAUGUUUUGUAGACCAUUUUUUUUGUGUGUG